rnacentral:rRNA from 1 species
UACGUAGGGGGCAAGCGUUGUCCGGAUUUAUUGGGCGUAAAGAGCGCGUAGGCGGCUUGGUAGGUCCGCUGUGAAAACUCGAGGCUCAACCUCGAGAUGUCGGCGGAAACCGCCAGGCUAGAGUCCGGAAGAGGAGAGUGGAAUUCCCGGUGUAGCGGUGAAAUGCGCAGAUAUCGGGAAGAACACCUGUGGCGAAGGCAGCUCUCUGGGACGGUACUGACGCUGAGACGCGAAAGCGUGGGGAGCGAACAGG